CGGGCACCAUGCAGGCGCGGCGCCUGGCCAAGCGCUGCGGCCGGGGCGGGCGGCGCGCGGGGCCGGCGCGGGAGGACGGGGCGCGGCCCCCCCCGCGGGAGGGCUCCGCCGCCGCGCCCGAGGAGGAGGACGAGGAGGAGGACGCGGUUUUGGAGGAGGAGGACGAGGAGGAAGAGGGCGGCCUGGGGAGCGCCCCCGCCGCGCUGAGCGGACACAGCAGGGGCCCCCUCCGCUGCGGCGAGAAGGCAGCCAGCAUCAAGCGUGAAAUGACCUUCUCUGCAUUUCAACAGGAGGAUGUAAAAAGUGACAUCAGUCAAAAACUGCCAGACCAACAGUUUCUCCCGUUCACCACAAAGGAGGAAGAUUUAAAAACAGUAGAGACCAAAAAACCAAACAGAGCUCAUGAGUGUGAAAAGGAAAGCACUCGUUCUAUUUGUCUUCUGGAACAGAAGCGCAAGGUUGUUUCUUCGAAUAUUGAUGUGCCUCCAGCAAGAAAAUCUUCAGAAGAACUGGACAUGGAUAAAGUAACAGCAGCCAUGGUACUCACCAGUUUAUCCACCAGCCCUUUGGUCCGCAGCCCUCCUGUCCGACCUAACGAAUCCCUAAAUGGAUCUUGGAAAGAAGGAGGAUUUGUGCCUUCUAGUACCAGCAGCAGUGGAUACUGGAGCUGGAACGCUCCCAGUGAUCAGUCAAAUCCAUCUACCCCCUCUCCACCUCUGUCAGCUGAUAGCUUCAAAGCUUUUCGGACACCUUCCCAGCCAGAUGAUGGUAUUGAUGAAGCUGAAACAAGCAACCUUCUCUUUGAUGAACCCAUUCCUAGGAAGAGAAAGAACUCCAUGAAGGUGAUGUUCAAAUGUCUGUGGAAAAACUGUGGAAAGGUACUGAGCACAGCUGCAGGGAUUCAGAAACACAUACGGACCGUUCACCUUGGACGUGUAGGAGAGUCUGACUACAGUGAUGGAGAGGAGGAUUUUUACUAUACAGAAAUCAGGCUCAACACAGACUCAGUAGCUGAUGGCUUAAACAGUCUUUCCCCAGUCUCUCCAUCUUUAGCAUCUCCUCCUUCCUUUCCCACCCAAGACACAAUCCGUCCUGAGACUUCAUGUGCCAAAACUGAGACUAAAUUGAUGACACCUCUGAGCCGCUCAGCUCCUACCAACCUCUACCUCGUACACACGGACCAUGCUUACCAGGCCACUCCUCCGGUGAACAUUCCAGGGUCAGCAAAAUUCACUCCCAAUGGCAGUAGCUUUAGCAUCUCUUGGCAGUCGCCUCCAGUUACCUUCACUGGCAUUCCAGUCUCACCAACUCAUAAUCGUCCUGCAGGGAGUGGAGAGCAGAAACAGUCCCACACAGUUCUUUCAUCACCGCCUAGAGUAGCAUUUGGCUUGAGGAAACCUAGAGGGGAGGGGAAGAAGUGUCGGAAGGUCUAUGGGAUGGAGAACAGAGAUAUGUGGUGUACUGCCUGCCGAUGGAAGAAGGCCUGCCAAAGGUUCAUCGACUAAAGAUUGAAAUUAUGCAGAGGAUUUGGGGAUGGGGGAGGACAACCACAGAACCAGAUUGCUGCAGCUGCACUGUAUCACUUCCCAUUUUCCCUCCAGUGACGUGGUGUUGGGGGGCUCUUGUUGGGUUUUUUGGGUGGUUUUUUUUUUUGAAAGAGCUUUGUAUUUCACAGUGAAGCACUUGUAGCCAAGGAGAAGCACUAAUCAAAACCUGUGUGGAGCAAUAGAGCAAAAAGAAAAAAAAGCAAACCCAAGAACAUACAACAAAAUUCUGUCUUACUACGUAUGGAAAUCAGAGCAGCUAUUAGUGUUUUUCUGUAAAAGAAAAAGUUAAUUUUUUUCCUAACUCUGUGAGCUACUUGCUCCUUAGGGUCAUUUUUAACCAUUUCAGUCUCUGUGCUGUGAACCUCUGUAUUUGCUAAACUGAGCAAUUUUUCUUUUCCUGAAAUGAAGAUCUCUUUUUGAAAGCUUUCUAAUAAACACUUCAGAGUUGUAUAAGCUAGAGUUUUCUCAACAAAAGCCGUACUAAGACUGGAGACUGCUAAAUAAUUCUCCUGAUACGAAUGGUCAUGAUUAUAUUUUUGGAAGGGGGAUGUGGGGAGGAGGUGGGAUUUUCAUUUGUUUGUUUAUAGGAGAAGAGCAAAGUUGAAUGUGCAAGAAGGACACGCAGUGUUCCUGGAAGAUUUUUAAACUAGGCACAGACCAUUGGAGUGGAACAAUGUAAUUUAAGUACCAAAUUGGAUUUUGAUCCUCUAGAGGAAGAAAGGCAGCAAUGGAAAUUCACCAGCAGAUAUUGUCACAACAAGAAGUUGAGGGAAGAUUUCCAAUGAUGCUUGAUUGAAACCUGUAAGAAUAUAAUGGAGGCCCAGUAGCUUUUCCUUCCACUCUCCGUUUUCUGAGGGAGGAUGAACACUUGGGCCAGCACAUCUGUUGCUGUAAGCGGCCUAUAAUGAAAGAACUGGCAAAUGCAGCCACUAGGAUUGUAUGUAAUACCUAUUCAGGGACACUAUGCAGCCCAGCAGUUCUGCUCUUGCUUCCUUUUCUCUUAUUUGAGAGAGUAUUGUUAAGGUAAUGGUUUCCGAGGCUCCCCUCUCCCCUUGAAGUUGCUAAGAUUGAUUCGAUGCAAAAAAAUUCGUAGAGAAAAUACCUGCUUUCCACAGCAUCAUCUCAGAAGAAAGAAGUAAGACACCAAAGGAGCAACGUAUUUAUGUUUCUUCCUUCAGUGUUGCUUUAUGCUGCAUCGCUGUCCUAAUGUCCGAUUCAUCUCACACUUCUGUACUGACCUCCCCAAAAGAGUAAGAUUUCUAUGUUUUUUUCCAAGGAAGAAUGCUUUAGUCACUUAUCAUCUUUGGUACUCACCAUUUCCCCUAUUUUCAGUUUCUCCAUGGGAUGUAGGUCAGUGUCUCUGACCUGGAGAAGUCAGAAAGAAUGGCCUGAACACACCACACAGUCUCUGUGUGCUGAAAAAAUUUGGAUAUGGGUUCAUUUAUGUCAGGAGCCAGAAACUGAGAUAUAAAAGUGGAAGGAUUUUUUUUUUAAUUGGGUUUAACUACUCACUAGUAUUGGUGCUGGUAACAGAAAUUGCCAACAUCAGUAUCAGAGUGGACAUCAACAGUAUUAAGUCCCAAAUAUUUUUCUUCAGGAGUUUUCAUGCUGUAACACAGCUACUUCCCACUUUCCUAUUUGCCCCAUCUCCUGAAAGAUCUAGAAAAGGAGAAAAUUUCUAUUUUAAUGGUAAUUUUUAAACUGCGACUGUGCUCCAGCUGCUCCCAUAGGAAGCUGUUGGACAUUGCAGACUCAGAUCAUCUUAGUCAUAAAAUGGUUUCCACUCCAAAGAAUGUGCCUGAUUCCCUAGUGCCUUGCACAAAUGUAACAGGUUACUUAAGAUGCAAAGUGAGCAAAAACUUUUCCAUUCCAAUUUACAGGCUUACCUUUACUUUUAACCAAUACCAGUCAUCAUCUAGCAGGUAUCUGUUGUCAUGGAAGCCAGGCCUGUAGGCCUUCUUGUGUGAAUACGUUGAGCAAAAUGCCUAUCUGUUGAAUUACUUUUUCCGAAUCAUUAGCCUGGUAUGAACGUUAGCUGUCUAAUGAUCUGCAGAUUUCUUGCACCAUUUGCUAUCACUGACAUCACUUUCUUUGUUCCUUCUCCUCUUCAUUUUUUAAGAUAAUGAAUAAGUCAGCAACACAACAGGAGGCACAACUUUAGCGUAAUGUUCUUGUAGAACUUGCAUGUAAGAACAGACUCCAGCUCCGUGUCGUAUCCCAGAUGUCCUCAUCACUGAGUUUUUAUUUUUUCAUUCUGAUCCAGUGAUUCAGGAUGAUUUUGUAUUUCUUGCUAUGGUUUGGGGCCAGCUAGAGUGGCCCUGUCAAGAAUUCAGGACAGUUGCUCUAAGUGUGGCAAUACAAAGUGUUUUCUCUCUUCCCUGGCCUACAGAUGUGUUGUGACACCAUCUCAGGAGCAGGAUGUGAAAUUAGAAGCUUGCUGGCCAGAUGUAGAGGCAUAGCAAGUUACUAGUGAGUCUUGUUUCUGGUGGUUCAAACUUCAGUCAUCUGUUGAAGAAAUUGCUGCACCUUUUCUUAGAAAUAUUUUGAUAAGGAAACAUUUGUAAACUCUGAUCUUAUAUUUACACUUUAUUCAGUCUUCCUGUAAGGUGGUAGCACUGGAACUGAGACCUGCAUGCUGUACAGGAUUUAAUCUGUGUUUGUUCAGGUUUUUCUGGAAGAUAAGUGUGGCCUGUUGCAAAGCAUCAUAGCAGAGAUUUAGUUCUAACGGAAGUUCGGCACCUUAAGCAAAAUAAUCAGAAAGUUAUCAGCAAAAACUAACUAAACUAAGAGUUUAAAUGCCUUCCGUAUCUGCUAUAUGUAAGCAGCCCUUGUCUGCCUCUAUGUGGAGCAUGAAAAACUUCUUCGAUGUUGCAAAAAGCCAAUGUAUGCCUGUAGUUGGUAGAGUCCACUUGAACUGUUUUUUCUGUCUUAGACCAUUGUGCUUUCACAUAGACCAUGCUCUCACUUCUAUCCAAACUGUAAAGAAGACGUGGAUCUUCCACUUGCAACUUCUGAAUUUAUUCCUCAAUACAAAACCACUAAUUGUUUUUUGUGCUUCACACAGACCAUUUUUAAUAGCAGUCUAGAAAGACCCUGAAAGUAGAAAUCGGCCCUUUUCUGAUGGCACAAGCAAAAUAAAACAUGGUUUUCUUGUGUACUUAAUUGUACAUACGGCAAGAAUUCACUUGGUCAGUCAGCUGAUGGAAUGUAAGAGAAUGGAUAAAUAUAGUAACAAGCUGGUGUUCUGCUUUAUUUUAACACAACCCUAAGAAUUGUUUUCCGUCUGUGUGUUGUGAGAGCUCUAAUAUGCCCUUGAGGGAAAUUAAUUUAGCAGUAGAAAUGCAGCUUCAGCUUUCCUAUUACUUGGGCAUGUACACGCCAUUAUACUAACGAAGUAGGGUUUCAAAUUAAAUCCAAAUUCUUUAUAUAAUUAAAUGCUAAAGAUGGACUUCAACAUUUUAAAAUGUUUGACUGUUGGUGUUUUCCAUUUGGCAAUACUCUUAAAAAAUGUAGGUUAAACUCUGGAGUUCUUAUCUUAGCGUGUUGCACCCUGCAACAAUUAGUGGAUGAUGUGUAAUGGUCAGAUAAACAAAAGUGACUAAAAUAUUUGUUUAAAAAAACUGCCUUGGGAAGACAGAGAAAAAAAAUAGAAAGUACACAUUUCCUCAGGGAAUGUAAGAGGGCUGUAAAGGCAGGAUGUAGGUUUAUUUGAAUGGAAGAAAUUGAUUUUUUUCUCUCUUUUAGGCAAAAUUUAAAGAGCAAUAUAUCAGUUCUUGUAUUACUAAAAUUAGAAGGAAGCACUAAUUAGUGAACGUGGUCGUACUUAAUGCUGUAUCUUAUGAAGUUCCAAAUAAGAAAAAAAAAUAUUAGAUGAUAUAAAAAUAUAGAAAAUUAGCCUGAACCAUAAUCUGAUUGCAAUAUAAUUCUAGACAUUUGUAUAAAUCUUUUCAGGAUCUACUGUAAAUUUAAAAGGCUUCUUGUUUAUAUAGUUCCUUAGUCAAAGCGUACUUUGUUUAUAAAUUAUUUACUUCUUACCAAACUGCUUCAGCAAGCAAAAAAAUAAUGUGUUAGUAUGAUAUCCUGGCAGUUUGGAUUGUGCCACUUUGCAAGUACUCAUUCUACAUGAAAUUAAAACAUACCACCUCAUUUUUAUUUUCAUAUCUGCAAAGGUAUCAGCUUCACUAAACCCAAGGUUUUAUCGAAACAUGUUAACUAGUAUUUUGAAGGUAUACAUAUGCAAAUUCUCGACAAUUUCUUUGUUUGUAUGCAAAGAAAUUCUUUUAGGGGCAUAGAAAUUUUUCCUAUCAACUCUUUUUCCUGUGUCCAGGGACUCCAUUCCGCAAAUUCCCAAGUAUUUAUACUGAAGUGAAUAAAAAUCAGAAUCUUCAAUUUUAGGUCCUAAAAAUGUGAAUGGCACCCAGCAUCAGAAUUUUUAGUAUCAGGAUUUAACUGUAGCCAUUAAUGCUUACAUGAUGCCAAAAAAUCUUUCAGGAUCGGGGGUUCACUUAAUCUAUAAAUUAGCCGGUGUGGCUGCGCAGAGAUUGAGCUACUGCUAGUCCAACGAUAAACUGUAGGCUGGGUUUGAUCAGAGCACUGAAUUCUGUGUUUGACUUCCCUUGCGGAGUUUGUUGAGCAAGCUCUCUCUGUUUCUAAAGUUAAGGGACGGAUUUUUUAUGCUCUUCUGCAAUCAGGCAUUGACAAAAGCAGAUACGCUUACAGCUUUGUUUGAGAUAUGCGCUUUGUAAGACAAUCUAUCUUGUUCUGAUUUUACUCCAUUAAUCUUGUAUUUAGAAGACCAGACAAACCUACAGAAUUCUUUGGGUUUAAUUACAUUCUGCAUUGCAAAGGGGAAGUGAAAAAGAAGACGAGCUUAACUGUACAUUUUAGCAUGGGAAAGCAUUGCUUAUGUUUGUCAAAGGUGUGUUAUUUGCCAUCAAGCUCGAAGGAAUUUAUCUGAGCACAUCAGAAAAAAAUGUAUGACAAGCAGGUCACAUUAUAUAAAUUGAUAUGGUUCCAUCUGUAUUCCCUGUAUACUCAACACUCCUCCAGGCAACUGGGGGCAUCGGAGCCCUGAGUAUGAGAGGAAAUACACAAUUUUACCUAAAAAUUCUAUGAGUACUCUGAUUUUAAGCCACAAAUGAUGUUGUCUGUGUGUAACUUUUAGUAUUAGUAGACAGUAGCCUUAUGAACAAAGUGCAAUACUUGCAAAGGGCUAAAUUAUGGAAACAAGCGGUGUGUGUUUGCACAUCGCUGCAAAAUGUGCACUGUUUUAAAACUGACUUUUAUAGCACUGGGAUCCUAUUACCUCUCUGAAUUAUAAUGUUGGUAUAAUUUUAUAGCCAUUUAUUAUACAUUAUAAAACAGGAUUUGGGAUUUCGUGAGAACCAAAAGGAGGAGAGGGGGAAUUGUAAAUCACAUAAAAUAGCAGUAUGUUGUUUCACAUGGCAGAAGUAACCUAAAACACCUUUACAAAGCUAUACAAGUUCUGGAUUACUGAAAGAAAAAAAAAUACAUUGCCCUUGGUUACAGAGAUAAUUUAGUCUGCAAUUUCCCAUGAUGUCAUGAGAAUGUGCUUCAGUGUUCAAUGUUUGCUUUGUGUCUUGCAUAUAAUUUUUGGGUUUUAUUUGUUUGUAUUCUGAGUGUGAAGACAUUCCUAAAUUACUGAUGCUCAGCUUAAAAUUGUAUUCUUUUGAAAAUAACUUCUAAAAUUGUGAGAUUUCAUCAUAUUGUACAGUCUGAAUGAGAUCAUACAACAUGAUGAGCUCCAACUUAAUGUGGAGAGCUCACACAAGCAGAAGGUUAUGUAGGGAAAGAUUACAUUAAAGGUUUGUUGUUCAGUUAUGCAAAGGGUUUAAACAAUCAAACUAAAAACUCCACUCAUAUUUCUUCUCUCCAUCUGCACAGUGGGGACAGCAGAAUACAGGUUGCCAAGUAUGGGUAGCUUGCCAUCUUACACCAUUUUUUUUCUCUUGAGUAAUGAUAUACAUGUCAUUUUCCCAUCUUUCUCAGUGCUUUUGUCUUAUGCUCAGAGUCCAGAAUUAAGUGAAAAACAGAAACAAUCCAGUCUGUUGGACCAGAGGCUGUUUGGUUGUUUCCCUCUUCAGCUGACUUCUGAGACAAACUCAGGUUUAGAGACAUCAGUUGAAAGGGGCUUGAGCCAGUCAGGUAAGACCUGAAACAGAAUUGCUUCUAAUUGGAUCCCAGUGGGAGGAAACUGGUCUUAAGCAGUCAAUUACAGAAGAUUUGGAUUGUGUUUUUUUCUUUACAUUACAAGCCUGAUAAAAAAUCUAGUUACAUGAUUAAGAGCAAAAUGCAGAUAACUUUGUAACUAGCUGAGCCCUGGAAGCGCUACAGAUUUUCUCAGGAGACUUGCAAUUAUUCCCAUGAAUAAGUGCAUCGACUGAGAGAGCUCACACUGGUAACGGUUGUGGAACAAAAGCACUUGGGGUUUCCUCCGUGUGACUGUUUCCACUCUAGUUGGGAGGUGGGAAAUUGUGACUCUCCCUUUCUGAGUGCUUGAGAAGAGAAUUUGGCUGUUAAGCAUUGUGAGAGGGAUGGAUACCCACCUAGUCGUGUUUGCAUGGCUGUUGGAAGAUGUUGGCUCAGUUUCUAGUAAUACCUAAGUGACAGUACUCAGUGACGGAUUUAGGAGCUGUUAAGCACAUGAUAUUCAGCCUGUAAUCCACCCUACUGAUACCAGAUCCAAGGAGAAGGAGGUUUCUCAGGAUGGAGUCCAGGGUAGUCAGUUUACUGUGGAGGGAGUCACCACCGUAGCUGAUGUGCUGUCAGCUGCAUUUGUCUUGUCUAGCUUGAGGGAGAUGGUUACCAGCAUUCAUUCAUGACCCACAGUCCAGAAAACUCUUUUGAAGAAUGUUCUUUCUUUCAGAGGAGGAGAUAAAACAGUUAGAGAACUUUUAUGUUAUUGAAAGUCACAGAAUAAAUUACAAUUCUGUCAGAGCUGAAAUGAGGAGUGGUGGUUUCCCUCCUUCCAUACCCACACUGCAGCUUCUCAACUGGCUGGUGGAACCAUGCUCCCAUAUGGGCUCUUGCCAAGCCCUAUCACCUUAAAUCCUUUUCCCAAGAGUUGCUGGAAUCCAGCAAAGAGCCCUAAAACCAGGCCAAAGAGAGUUUGACCCCCAGGUAAAGGCGGGUGUCUCCAACUCUUUCCCAACUCUUCCACUUCCUAAGUGAGUGUUUCAUGUAAAAGCAGACUUUUGCAAAGGGAGCAUUGCCCCAUCACUUUCCAGUGGCAUUUCUAACAGCACCAGCCACCACUGCAUCUGCAAGGAACCAGAUGUUAGUUUUGUUAUUCAUGGGCUUUGGGGAAUGUUAUUUUAGAUUUAGAUCUCUGCAUUUCAAGUAACACUGUAGUCCCACAGCAGAUUAAACUGGCAUAAGCUUGUGCUGCUUUUGAAGAGCUUUUCCUACCUCCUGGCAGAGACUUUUCUAGAGAGAAUAUCCCACGUUAUGCUGGCUAGAACCACUCCUAAAAAGUGUAGAUCUAUUUAAAGUGCCUAAAGGCUUGAUUAUUUAUGGCUUGAGGUUUGUACUACUGCUCUUCAUGUGACGGGCAUAAUACUACUUUUAUCCCACUCUGUCUUCGCUGAAGUCUCAUUAAGGGCCUGGACUCUCCCAUACUCCUACAGCAGGAAGAUCAAGAGAGCUCCACUAACAGCUGCUUGCUUAGCACUACUAGGAUAUCAUUAAAACAGCAUUGAUUUUGAUAUGAAACGGAGUCUACAGAGGAAACAGAGGAGUUAGAUCAAUAAUCCUGUAUGUAGUGAGUCUUAAGAUCUCUCAGCUGUGCCAUCAUUUUGCUAAGCAGAUAUUGGAGGAGUUAAGGGACAUGAAAAGCAACCUUAUUAGACCUUGUUGCUCCCCCGACACCAGGGGUGUCCUGGAGCAAGUGUAAUUCAGGGUAAUUUCAGGCCAGGUAGGGUUUAUUGUGGGGCGAGGAGAUGUGAUCUCUGCAGGAGAACUCUGGGCCACAGAAAAGCAGGGUAUACUUCUUAUCCAGACAUAGUAGCAAAUAGGAAAGACUCUCUUUGCCUAGUGCAGUUUUUCAGCGCCGUUUUAUUAUAGCAUCAGUGCAAGAGUGAUGGGAAUGCCAGGGAGAAGGUAGAGAUUCACGAGGUAACUGAAGGAAGCUAACUGUCAGCAGCAAUUGCACUGUGUUUUUUUUUAAAACUCUGGAAAAAAGCAAUUAUGUUUUUUUGUCAUCUGCUACUCAAAUAUUAUUUCACGUAAAAAAAGUAUUUCCAUCAUAGAAGGGGGUGAAAUUAGCACAAGUUAAGCAGCUGUGGGAAAACAAAAGCCCAAUUGUGCAGUUUUUAAGACUGCAGUAUUUAUCCAUGCAUCCUUUUGUUUCACUUAAAUCACAAAAGGGAAAUCUCUGCCAACAUAUAUUGUUCUUCCUUUGUUUCCUGUCAAAUAUUGGUUUGGCAAAUGUGAAGUAAAUUUAAGUCCUUUUUUAAAAACAUUUUUGCGGAAUUACUGGUUUUAGAACCAGAGCGUUUCUUCUUUCACUCAGUUUAAAAUGACUGAGCUUUAAUUUGCUCUGUGUUGCACUUUAUUUAUUUUUCAGUCUUGGGCCAUGUAUUUUUGAUAUUAAAAAACAAUAAAAAUUUUGUUAAUGUAUUUUUAACAAGAAAUUAACCAUGAAUCUACGAUGUUUUUAUAAAAAUACAAGUUCCAUAAAACAACAAAUAAAUAUUUAGAGCAGAAAUCUUAUUAUGUUGAAAAAACUAUAGCUUUUGAAAUUAUUUAUGAUUUGGUAAAUUCAGUACUUUAAUUGAAGUAUUGAAGGACAGCACAGUUUAAAAUGGAAAAUGAAUAAGUAGGAGACAAAGUUCUUGACAUUGCAUUUUCUUAUUUACAAAAUCUGCAUUAGUUUAAUUGAUAUGGGUCUUAAAAAAUUACCGUAAUCUAAUUAAAAUAAGUCUAAAACUGUUUAAUAAGCUUGGUUAAAACGAAAAGAGCUCACAGAAAAGUUGAAAUCAGUUUAACUUAAUUGCCAGAGAUACAUUUUUCACCACACUAAGGCAAUGCAGUAUAGAGGGCAGCCUGAGAAGCCCCUUGUCUCUAGAGAGGCUGAACUCGCACAAGCAGAAGACGCCAACAGAAGCCAUACGCGAGUGUUUUCCUGCUUUAAACAGUAGCUCUUCAACCCCUCAGGCUUACAGACCCAGUUCUUCUGCAUCGCUAAUAGUAUUUACAUUUGUUCUUUUCUGACUUUAUCCCCCUCUGACUUUGGGAACUCAUGUCCUACAGACAAUCCUCUUGUUCCUAAAUGAGCUAACAAAGAUUUCAUCUUCACCUUGGCUUUAGCGUUAAGCUUAUAAUCCUAAUACUGUUGUAUGUAGUUUAGCUUCAUAAUUUUUAGAUGCCAAUUUCAAUGCUUUAAACAAAGAACAGCUACUCUACCCCAGCACAGAGUCCCUUCACAUCUUGUGGACUAUAUUGGAAAACAAAGGCCUUUUUACUUUUAUUUGUCCAAACUCUUUAUUCCAAAUCACAUCUGGAAAGAGGAAGCCUGCAGUAACUGGAAGACAAAGCACAUGGCAGUAAAAAGGGGAACGAGAUGUCUGUGCUCUGAAGUUCUGAACACCAUGGUGUGAAAUCCCUGCAGAAGCGCUUUGUCAGUCUCCUCCCAGAGUCCCCAGUUCCUUUUAAGAGACUUUCUUACAUCCUGCUUUUUUGUUUCUAUAUCCAUAGGUAAAAGUAAAAGCUGACCCCUGCUCUAACAGCAUGAGUACAGCCUCACCUUGAGUUGCGAAUGUAUCUUUUAAUCAAGCUUCAGUUUCGCCUACAGGAGAUGUGCAGGAUCUGGGUAGUUCUGCAUGCUGUAAAGCUGUUGUAUCCUCCCAGGAGCCGGUAGGACUCCUGGGAGUCUGGCAGGCUUAAACACUGCUGAGCAUAGCGAUACCUGUGCUGAAGAGAAAGUGUAGAUCAGUGUUGCCUACACAUCCUAUCACAGAGAUGAGUACCGCACAGUGCUGCACAGGUCUUGCAGGUGCGGAAAAAUAAAGCUUAAAACCUUUGCACUAAGCACAGGGUGUCUCCAAAAACUCAGUUUGUGUUUGACUGAGGAGCAAAAGCAGUGCCAGGCCUCCUCCAAGGUGGUGGGCUGUCAGGCAGCACAAAUAAGAGUUCUGUUCCCCAACUGGUUUCUGUGUUUUCGUGUGCAUUCGAAGGAAAGCUUAAAAGAGAUUUUUGCAUGUAGAUGAUGUUCCUGUGCAAUCUGAUUUGAUUCUGCCCUCUGGGGGCAGUUUGUGGGCCAGCACAACAGAUUUAGAUAAGCGACUUCCACUGCCAGUUCCUUGCACAGAACAAAAACCCGUUUCUUACUACAAUCAGGUGAUUUUCUUCUUCUUAAGAUAAAAAAAUCACAGAAAACAAAAUUCCACUGUGCAGACCAUUGUGAAACUCUCACUGUCUCCCUGUAGCUGAGGAGAACUCCAGAAUUCAGAGGACUGUGGCCAUAACUCAUAAAAAAAAACUCUGCAGUCUGUUCCCACUAAAAGCGUUUCAGUGCUACAUCAAAAACAUACAGACCUGGGCUCUCUGAAAUUCCUCUUAAGAAUUUUGCUGUUACGUGAUAUGAAAAAAAGUCUUAAAAUCUUUGUGUCUGCAUCUGAGUUGAUUCUGCCUGCAGAACCGAGAGCACUUCCAAUAGACUUCAGAUAUGUAGGGAGUCAUUCUCAGUACAAAUCAUAUCACUCCAAAUGUUUCAAAUAUUUUCAUUAAAUGAAAAGCAUGUGCAAUAGCAAUGUAUAUUAAUGCCUAAAAGUCUAUGAAAAUAAUUGAGUUAAAGUACUAAGAAGUGUGUGCUUGCACUUGAAACUUUAAAGAAAGACUGAGCUACUCAUUCGCUAAGCACUAGCUCUUGAGUUUUAUUAAUGCACUAAACCAGCUUUGGACAGUGUAACUUUUUUUCUGAAAAUUGAGAAGGAAUAUUUUUUUCUCAAGUUAUUCAAGUAAUGAGUUAAUGAAUAGUUUGUUUCUGGUUACUGGGUUUUAGAAUGAGCAAAUCUUACUGUUUUGCACUUCCAAUAUUCUUUGUUUGUGUGGAAAAAACCCUUUUCUGCUUUUUCCUUUCCCACUGAAUGAUCAGUUCAGUAGCUACAGAAAAUGUUUCUUCACUUAGAUUGCAAAAAUAUCCUUUGAUAAAUUUACUCUUCUCGUGGUAAAUCCCGAUUAUUUGACUUUUGUGUUUUUUCUAGUUUCAAAAUGCUUUUGUGCAAUUUUCAUAGAUACAGUUGAAUAAAAAUUUCAUGGAAUAAUCUAAAUCAUCACUAGCCUAGGUGCAUUAACUUUUUUUCCUAAUUAAGAACACAACAGAAUAUGAAGUGUCAUUACCAAAGUCAAUUCAUUGCUGAAUUAAAUAUUCUUAGAACAUCUUGAUUAGUAAAAAGCAGUUAUAAUUGUUAAAUUACCUUUAGCAGCGAACUUUAUUAAGUAUCACAGGUGAGAAAGCAAUUUUUCUUCAAAAGAGCACAAAUGGAAAACAAAAUUAAAAUAGAUCAUUUAAACCAAGGCUUUCUCCUUGUCGUUAAGCCCAUCCUGCCUGGUGCAUUACUGUUGUACAUUCAGGGAUGCUCAAGACAAUAGACGUUCCGUGUGGGAAGCAGCCAGGUUCCAAAAUGUUAACUGAAAUAAAAACAAAAGUGAGCAAGGAUUUUCUAAAUUGCAGCUUGGCUAUUGCUAAAAAAACAAAAAGCAAAAAAGCACAAUUUGCUACUGAACUGGAAUUUCAGCGUUUUAAAAGAAGCAUAUUUUAAUCUAGCUCACGCAGAACAGGUAAAACCAGGUUUCUGUUGAUUUGCUUGUCUGUCUCACAGGGCUUAUACUUGCUAAUAAACCCCAGAGCAGGGUGCACCAAUACUCAGAUGACCACGAUUGAAUUGAAAUCUCAUGCAAUCCCAAAAUCUAGUAUAUGUUAUUGCAGAGACAGCAGCCUUUGAAUUAAAAACUACUUAAAACUAUCUCAAAAAAAAAGGAAGAAAAAUAAGCUCAUUCUUUACUUGGGAAGUGCAGUUCAGCUACCACAAACUUGCAAGCCAUGUGCUUAACUGGUCUCCUGUAGCUUUGUCAGGUCGCAUUUUUGUUGAAACCAGAUGGUGGUUAAGCUACAUAGCAAAGAACCUUCCUUUGAUCUUUGUAAAUGAAUGUAUACGUACAAACUAUGCAUUUUCAUAUAGCUGCACACUGUAUGUUGAAUCAAUUCAACUCCAACCUUUUCCCCUAGGUUAGCAACCCCCCAAACUUCAGGAGCUGAAGGUGCUCCCAUCUUCUUUAAUGUGUAUUUGCCUCCCAUCUUGUUUCUGCUCUCCAAAAGCUUGAGAUGCAGGACAGAGGAGCGCUGAGCUCCCAGGGCCCCAGGAGCAGCGAGGCCAGGGGGCUGUGGCCAAGGCAGGGACCAGGCAUGCUCUCGGGGACCAGUUUGGACUCCUGGGGACCGCAUGGCCAAGCAGAGGGAUGUGGUACUUGUGCUUGUUCUUGCCAGAGCUGCUGCUGCUCCAGUCCCAGCACCUCUUGCACUUUUGCUCAGCAUCUCGCACGCUCGGGCAGCAGAUGGGGACCAGCAGCUGCUCUAUUGCAUGGGGGCUGUAGGAGUCUGCAGCAGCGCUAGAGCAAGCGAUGCCAUGGAGGGGGUGACUGCAAACUGGGCUUGCAGCCACCAUCCUCCUCCUUCUGAGAGCCUUUUCAGCCACCCUACGAGCCCAGUUUCACCCUUAUCACCACUUCUGUUCUCCGCAGUGCUCUGGAGUGGCUUAGGAGUCACCGAUGACUCCUUAGGGGCAGUGGUCUCACAGCUGAGACCUGCUGCCCCAGAUCAUAAUUGCUGGAAACCCUCAAUUCCUCAUCCUAAGCACUGACUGCGCUUCAGGGCUGGGGUGCGUAUGAUAUGAAGGAUCAGACCUUGGUUUUGGUGUACUGUCUGUUGGAAGGGAGCUGGAAAGAUGGAAAAUGGAUGUCUUGUUCUUGUAGUUGUAAUUACAUGAAGGAAAAAGGUAUUGCAUGCAACUUUCUUACUUAAAUUUUGGGUUGUUGCUCUAAUAUACAUGAGCCCAGUCUAGUCAGUGAAUGAAUUGUGUUUCUUAUAGUUUAUCCUACAGGAGGAAAGACAACAAAAAUAGAUGCAUUAAGAAUAUCCUUGCUUUAGAGUAAAGCAAGCUUGGACUUCACAACAAAGAAAUAUUUUGUUUAUAUGCAAACUAAUCAAAUAUUUGAUACCAGUAUGAAGGCAAUGGUAUGCUUAUCUAUUCAGAGAUGUGCCCUCAUCCAGGCUAUGUUUAACUGAAAAAUGCUUUUACAGUAUGUAUUUGUAUUUGAUGGGCUAAGGCCUUUCAUUUUAUAUUCUUUACAAGAAUUAGCGUGGAAAAUAUGUUUUCCCAUUUAUUGAGCUACCUGCCCAUGCUAGUUGUCCAUUUGCAUAAAGAAUAUUUCCACUACUUCAUAGAUUUUUGGGUUGUUGUGGGGUUUUUUUAAACACUGUCCUUUUAAAAGAAUGCAGUGCUUUUUGUAUGUUGCUCAAUAGAAAAACAUAUUCCUUACCGGGGCCCCCACAGCGCGAUCCACAGAACCCAGUGACUUGAAAAAAAUGCAUGAGGACAGGUCUUCAGGGGUUGUCAGCUACCGUAUCUCCCUUAGCCGUGAUCAUUUUUAUCAGCAGAGGACCUGCCCUAGGAGGAUUACACAGAGGCAGCUGUAGGGAUGCUCAGCGUGGCACAGGAGGCUCUGGCGCAGGCAGAUCUCCGUUCCCAGGAUAUGGCCUGUAACAGCAACAGAAAGACACUACUGCAUCUCUGCAGCCAUCCCGUGGGUCUGGGGGAGCUCCAGCUGCAGCCCCUCAAAUCAAAGCACUGACUGCGACUGUCAGUCCUUUGCUGUCACUAUCACAAAGUUGACUUUUAAAAUGAGAAAGAGCUUCCAACUCUGGCACUAAUGGAAAUACUGAAUACUUUUAAUAUAUAUAUAUAUAUUUGGAAAGUAUUUGAAGAAAGUGUUCUGUCUUUUUUUAUACAACUUUUAGCCAAAUAGAAGUAUUCUGAUUAUUACUUCUGUGGAUACUUGUCCACCUGUAAAUAAACUCAUAUUCGGGUACAUGAACCUGAAGGAAAAAAAAAUAAUACAGACUGUUCACUGGCUAUGCGCUUUGCUAGCUUGUGGUUCCUUUGUACAUAAGAGGUAACUGUUUAAAUGUUGGGUGGGUGGGGGUUUUUUAUUUAACUGUUGUUCCUCUAAAGAAAGAAGAAGAAAAAAAACUUUUGACUUUGUUUUCUCUUUUCUGAGUUAAUACAAAGAUUUUCUAACUUUAUACUGCAGAAAUGGAUAAAUACCUGGUGCUAUGUGAAUUCGAGUCAAACUGGCCAUAGCAGACAUACCAGCUAGAAUGCACUUUUCCUGUGGCACACAGUGUAUUUUCUCAGAAGGAACUUUCAAAGGACCAUCAGAUGUUUACAUUUCUUCUUGUUGCCCCAGAUAGUUUUGAAUAUUUAAAUAACUUCCAGAAAAUAGAGAAAGUCAUGAUCCAUCACUGAUGUGACAAAUCCUUACAUUUAGGUAUCUACAACAGGUUUGUACAAAUACCAUUUUAGAGAUAGUUGAAAUACUGGGCUUUCAUACUUCGUAAUGCUUUGAUGUGACAAUAAAUAUGCUGUUGCUAUCUAGUCUAACCUCAUUGUAGACCUGUAACUUCCUGUUUAUGGUUAUGUCAUUAAUUGCACUGGCUUGAAUUCAGCCAAAUACUGACUGUUCAGCUGAAAUAUUCUGACUGUUAUGAUGUCCACAAAACAUUUAAUUAAAUGCACUUGUAUCUGA